UACGUAGGGUGCAAGCGUUAAUCGGAAUUACUGGGCGUAAAGCGUGCGCAGGCGGUUAUGCAAGACAGAUGUGAAAUCCCCGGGCUCAACCUGGGAACUGCAUUUGUGACUGCAUGGCUAGAGUGCGGCAGAGGGGGAUGGAAUUCCGCGUGUAGCAGUGAAAUGCGUAGAUAUGCGGAGGAACACCGAUGGCGAAGGCAAUCCCCUGGGCCUGCACUGACGCUCAGGCACGAAAGCGUGGGGAGCAAACAGGAUAGAUACCGACGUA
rnacentral:rRNA from 1 species